ACUCUCACUCUCCUCUAUGCUGCUAUUCUGGGAAGUGGCGCUUGGAAUAACCCCCGUGUGCGUAUGAGUGUGUGUGUGCGUGUGUAUGUGUCUCCUGAUUUCACCCUGACACACGCACACAUACACACUCACAACACAGUCAGACGCACACAUUUACAGUCUGUCUGACUGCAGUAGUGGAGCUCCGGCAGCAGAAAUCCGGUCGGAAAGGAUUCCUUCCAUUUUUACGCGCAACUUUUCCUCCGUCGGCCGCCUCGCCGCGACGUUUCCACCGCUUCCCCCUCGACUGUUGUGGAUUUCUAACAACCAUCUACCGGUCUGUUUCUAACGGAGAGGAGUCCAAGCCCGCCCGGAAUCGGAUCUCCUGUCACCGGGGUUUGCUUGUUGUCAUUCUCGCACGGAGACGGAGACGCGCAGCCGGAGCGCAGGCAGAAGGGGCAGUUUGUGGACUUGAUAAACUGGGCGAGAGGACAAACAAGUUACACCAGAUGGCCCCAUGAGGACGCUUUCUGUCGGGACUCCCGUUAAAACCAAACUGACCACCUGCAGACCAACAGGUAAGCCCCGUCUCACCACAUGUGCACUUUUUCAGGCUCCUCAGAGGUUUUUACAGGACGGUGGACGGCACAGCGGUUGUGUAACAUGAGUUUUGUGGCUGCGAUGAAGUGUGUUAACAAACAGCAGCGUGAAUCAGAGUGGUGUGUGUGGGCCAAAAAUGUGACUUUGGGGCUCUUUUUCCAUACACAUAAUCUGAACACAUCUAAAGUUAACAUUUGCAGCGUAAUUCAGGGAUGUAUUCUUAACCUUUGGACCGUCUCCAAACAGCUCUGGACUAUUUUCCAACGUGUUGCAUUUCAAAAUGACACUAAUGCAGUUAAAAGGAAUUUUUUCCUUGAUGAAACCAUUUAAGAAAACCAUGAUUCUACAGUCAGUAAACAGUUUUUUUCCCCCACAGUGACACAUUUUUGUAGUUUUUGGCAUUUUGAGUUCGCUGUCGGUGUUAAUGUUCUGACUUUUAGUAACGAAUCGAAUGUGUUUACAAGCACAUCAGAUGAAUAUGUAGAACUUGUGGCCCUCUAAUCUCUCAGAAUUAGAGGAGGGAAAGUAAUCGGACAAGCUGAGACAACUUUAAAAACCAUCAUUCCAGAAGGAAAGUGUCUUCAAAGGCUUUUUGGCUGCAUCUCAUGGUCUUCCCCAGCAGAUUAAAACUCCAUCCGCAAAGAUGUGAUCGAAUGCUCAAAAAGAAAAAAAAAGUGAAAACCGGACUCACUUGAGCUUUGAACUGUGUUAUUGCAUCUCGCAUGGAGCUUUGAACUUCAUCCACGGCUGAAUUAAGCUGGAGUCCUGUCCUGGGAAGUACAGAGAAAAUAUUGUAUUUUUAAAGUUCUUGAUGACAAAAAUCUGAAUCUUUAAAGUCAUUAAAGCCGUCAAACCGAUGUAGUGAAGUAAAAAAAAAGAACAAUGUUGCCGUGGAGAAGGUGGCAUUAAAACUACCUUGAAUUUGUACUUCCUCGUCACAUUUAACCACUUUAUUUAAGAUCUAUGAAUGCUGUAAAGUUAAAGCUUAAAAUCAGCUCUUUAACCUCAUAGUGACAUCUGCUGUGUCCUAGUACAGAGCUCACACAGCUCUUCUAGUUCCUUCUGAUGCGCUGCACAGUUGACAGUUGCUUAUGGUGAGGCUCUAGUAUUGGCCUUGUGACUUUGUGAUCUCAGGCUUUAGUUUCCAAACUGUGUGUAACUGCAACACAAACCAGCCCGGCUGCUGGACUUGUCUCUGGGUUGAGUCUGUGCUGUAUCUAAUAGGGACCUGAUGCUGCUGCUGCUGCUGCUGCUGAACUUCCAGUUUGGCGUCUGUGAUGUUUCUUUUACCCGGCGGUGCAGCGUGGUGCUAAACCAGUCCACUGAUCUCUCCAUGUGAUUUGUGAACUGAUUUGACAGGUUUCUUAACUUGAUGUUUUUAUUGUAAAACUAGCUAUCCCAGUUUCUGUGCAGUUGUGGACCUGGUUUCACUGGUUUCUGUGGUAUUUCCGGUAUUACUUUCUCUUCUGUGGAGUAUUAGCACUUUAUUUGAACUGGUUCAACUUGGUUCUCCACCGUUUUUUUUUUUGUAGACGUUGCUAUCUCCAUUUCCAUAACGCUGCACAGUGGAAAUGGUUACGCUGGUUUCUCUGGUGUUUCUGAUAUAUUUUAUGACCACCUGGUUUCUGAACUAGCCCGACUGGUUUCUGUGCAAUUUAUUGAGGCUGACUGCAGCAUCCGUGAUGUCGUAAAAAAUAAGGAGAAUUCUUUGAAUCUGAACAGUUGGAACUGCAGGGGAGGACAGAAUUUCAAUGUGACCACAACCAGAACUAGAAGUCAGCUGUAAAACACACACACACACACACACACACACACACAUUCCAGGGAGCUAAAUUACCAUCAGACUGAGAUGAUUUUGGUUUGACACAGACAUUGUGGUCGGUGGACAAAAAAAAGUAUGUUAGAUCGCUGUAAAAGAAUACCUGCCCCAACGUGCUCACACACACACAAACACACACAGACACACACACACACACACACACACACACACACUGUAUUAUAAACACUACAAAGGGAGCACAAAAGUAGUUUAAGCGUUACAAGCCAAAACAUGACAAGACAUCAUGAAAAAAAAAA